rnacentral:sRNA from 1 species
CUCUUGUGUGAUUCUUCUGGUAAUCGCCGUGACGAUCUGUGUUCUUGAUUUUGCUUGCUAAUUUUGAGGAUUCUCGGCGUGGGAGCAGAGGAAUUGGUGGCGGGAGAGGGAAAUCGGUGCGGCGGGAGUGGGUUUUGGGAGGGCAAAUCGGGGAUUUCGCGCUACGGUUUCGACGCGAGGGCGAGGCUACGCCGCCCACAGCGCGCGCGACCCGGGUCUUCUCCUCGCUGCGCGCCCUGGAUUUCGCGAGGUUUUGCGUCGCUCACCUAGGGGACGAGGAACCUAGUUUAGGUGCGGGUCCAAGUGACACGGCGGCAAAAAUCCAACGUGGCGCGACGAGGUCCCGGUCCAGCUCACCGCACUGUGAGAGACCUGAGAGCGAGUGGCGUCGGCUUCACUCAACUAUAACCAAUGACCGGUGGGUACCAAGUGGGCCCCACAUGUCACAUAGAUACGAAUAAAGGUUGCAGAGCAACCGCACCGCCUGCCCCUUUUCUUAGCAUGGAAGUCGUACAGGUCAAGUCCAACGAAGCACAGCGUC